CCUACGGGUGGCAGCAGUGGGGAAUAUAGGACAAUGGGCGAAAGCCUGAUCCAGCCAUGCCGCGUGUGUGAAGAAGGCCUUCGGGUUGUAAAGCACUUUCAGUGGGGAAGAAAGCCUUGGGGCUAAUACCCGCGAGGAAGGACAUCACCCACAGAAGAAGCACCGGCUAACUCCGUGCCAGCAGCCGCGGUAAUACGGAGGGUGCGAGCGUUAAUCGGAAUUACUGGGCGUAAAGCGCGCGUAGGCGGUCUGAUAAGCCGGUUGUGAAAGCCCCGGGCUCAACCUGGGAACGGCAUCCGGAACUGUCAGGCUAGAGUGCAGGAGAGGAAGGUAGAAUUCCCGGUGUAGCGGUGAAAUGCGUAGAGAUCGGGAGGAAUACCAGUGGCGAAGGCGGCCUUCUGGACUGACACUGACGCUGAGGUGCGAAAGCGUGGGUAGCAAACAGGAUUAGAUACCCGAGUAGUC
rnacentral:rRNA from 1 species